GGCACAUUCCGCUAAGCCAUUUUUAAAAUCCUAAGGAAUCGGUUACCGUUCUCUACCAUCGACGAUGACCACAGGACCGUGAGGUUCUCCUCGUUGCCUCGGAUGCCGGGAACUCUCGUGUCGUCUCCGGAGUAGCUGGCUCCCAAUGAACUCCUCGAGCUUAUAACCGUCACUGAUCGAUGAAGUGCUAGACGAGCACAAAGAUGAAAUAACUCUUACCAAGAGACA
rnacentral:lncRNA from 1 species